GGAAGUCCUCUUUUCGUUAACCUUCAUCGUCUUCCGUCUUAGGUUAUCAAUGCUUUGAUACCUCAAGUGUGCGUAUUCUGCAUAUUUAUUUCUGUCUGAAAUCAGUUCAUUGCGAAUUGGAUAGCUGAGAUUACAGCUUCUGUCGUUUGCCUUCGCUUGAAGAUUACAAAAUUCUAUACCAAUAAUCUUCCAAAGAGCCUUACAACGAAUUUCUUAUUGUUCUUUGAUGACAUUUUUCAUUAUUACUCUCAGAAGAAGAAAUUUCAGAGUCAAAAUUAUUGGUGAUUUUAAUCGAUGAACGAGGAUACAGAAGCGUGUGCUGCAAUGCUGGCAUGUCCUGGUCCACUGCAAGUAUCUGAACUUUUCGACAUUACGCUUGGUUUUAUUGUCCCAAGCGAAAGGGAGGAGGACACGAGUUACUAUCAUGCACUCUAAUACUCUAAUUCUAACCAAUUCGAUUCAGGAUUUGCAAUGAGUGCUCACUCACCAGCACAAGUGCACAACAUGGACCACACUGGUGUACUCAUUCUCUUGGAUGCGUCCGAGGUGAAAUUUCACCUGCUGCGAUCUGCCACUAUGGAGCUAAUAAAGGUGAUGACAGGCUGGCUGAUUCUUUGUACGGAUUUCUUAAUUGUUCUGUAAAGGUAAACAAUCAAGAGGGAGAAAGAAAAUAUCUGUGCCCCUGAUAGGCUAAAAUAAGAUAGCGCAUAUCUGAGUUCUUGGAAUUUGUCAAACACAAGUGGCCAAGUAAUUCAACAGACUACAAGUGUAAGCUGCUUCUUUUAGU